UAGAUAUUAGGAAGAACACCAGUGGCGAAGGCGGCUUACUGGACGGUAACUGACGUUGAGGCUCGAAAGCGUGGGGAGCAAACAGGAUUAGAUACCCUGGUAGUCCACGCCGUAAACGAUGAUUGCUAGGUGUAGGUGGGUAUGGACCCAUCGGUGCCGCAGUUAACACAAUAAGUAUCCCACCUGGGGAGUACGAUCGCAAGGUUGAAACUCAAAGGAAUUGACGGGGGCCCGCACAAGCGGUGGAGUAUGUGGUUUAAUUCGAAGCAACGCGAAGAACCUUACCAGGGCUUGACAUCCUACUAACGAAGCAGAGAUGCAUUAGGUGCCCUUCGGGGAAAGUAGAGACAGGUGGUGCAUGGUUGUCGUCAGCUCGUGUCGUGAGAUGUUGGGUUAAGUCCCGCAACGAGCGCAACCCUUAUUGUUAGUUGCUACGCAAGAGCACUCUAGCGAGACUGCCGUUGACAAAACGGAGGAAGGUGGGGACGACGUCAAAUCAUCAUGCCCCUUAUGUCCUGGGCCACACACGUACUACAAUGGCGGUCAACAGAGGGAAGCAAAUCCGCGAGGAGGAGCAAAUCUCAAAAAUAACGUCUCAGUUCGGAUUGUAGUCUGCAACUCGACUACAUGAAGCUGGAAUCGCUAGUAAUCGCGAAUCAGAAUGUCGCGGUGAAUACGUUCCCGGGUCUUGUACACACCGCCCGUCACACCAUGGGAGUCAGUAACGCCCGAAGNNNNNNNNCCAACCGUAAGGAGGGAGCUGCCGAAGGCGGGACCGAUAACUGGGGUGAAGACGUAACAAGGUAACCGUAA
rnacentral:rRNA from 1 species